CGCUAAUGGAGAGUAGAUGAUCUCCUUCAGUUUCAUAAAACAACCAAAGAGAAUCUAAAUUGUGUCAAAUCAGAAAAAACUUUUGCCCAGCAGAACCAGCAGAAUACGAAUCAUCAGGAAACCUGCAGUUAUUUUCCUGUUUCUACAUCAGAGUCUGGAGUUUUCUUGAUCUUAUCGAUUGGCUCUGCAGAAUAAACUUCCUGGUUUCCCGGCGUCGUCCUGCUGCUCUCUACCCGCCCCCCUCUCAGGGUUUGUGUUUUUGUCCUCAGGUUUUGGGACUUCGGCAGACGUCUGCCUCUCCUGGACACAGUGGAGCAUCAUUCAGAGUUUGUCUGUGGAUUGGACUUCAACCUCCACGUCCCCCACCAGGUGGUAGAUUGUUCCUGGGACGAGACGGUGAAGAUCUACUCACCUUCCUGCCUCGCUGCAGCACCAUAACACACACACACACACACACACACACACUGCUGAGCGUCUUCCGGACAGUGGGCGGUUCUUCCGGCUGGAUUUGAGCUCCUAUUGACUGAUUGGACUCUGAGUUCAUUAAGAUGUGAUAUCUAAUCAUAAAGUGUUUUAUGUAAAUGAUGUUUAUGAUGAAAUAAAUAUUUUAUUUAUCA